CCCUUAGAUGUUCUGGGCUGCACGCGCGCUACACUGAUGCACUCAACGAGUUUACGAGCUUGUCCGAGAGGAUUGGCUAAUCUUUUUAAAAUGCAUCGUGAUGGGGAUAGAUUAUUGCAAUUAUUAAUCUUCAACGAGGAAUUCCUAGUAAGCGCGAGUCAUCAGCUCGUGCUGAUUACGUCCCUGCCCUUUGUACACACCGCCCGUCGCUCCUACCGAUUGAGUGCUCAGGUGAAUAAUUCGGACUGCAGCAGUGUUUGGAUCCCGAACGCUGCAGCGGAAAGUUUAGUGAACCUUNUNACUUAUNGGAAGGAGAANUCGUANCA
rnacentral:rRNA from 1 species